rnacentral:rRNA from 1 species
UGGGGAAUAUUGCACAAUGGGCGAAAGCCUGAUGCAGCGACGCCGCGUGAGGGAUGACGGCCUUCGGGUUGUAAACCUCUUUCAGUAGGGACGAAGCGCAAGUGACGGUACCUGCAGAAGAAGCACCGGCUAACUACGUGCCAGCAGCCGCGGUAAUACGUAGGGUGCGAGCGUUGUCCGGAAUUACUGGGCGUAAAGAGCGCGUAGGCGGUUUGUCACGUCGUCUGUGAAAUCCUAGGGCUUAACCCUGGUCGUCCAGGCGAUCCGAGCUGCCUUGCGUACUACAGGCGAGACUGGAAUUUCUGGUGUAGCUGUGGAAUGCACAGAUCUCAGGAAGAACACCCAUGGCGUAUGCAGCUCUCUGGAUAGUAUCUCACUCUGAGGAGCGCAAGCAUGGGUAGCUAACAGG